ACGUUCAAUGUUUCCAAUGAUGAGCAGUUAAUCCACUAAACCCAGAGAUAAUUCCCGAGGCAUGUUUAAAGAGUUUUGUAUUUCAUCAAGAAGGUGCUGAUUCACAAAGAUUUUAAAUUUAAGAAAAUCUGAGCAUCAUUCCAAAUAACUGUUAACAUGUUUGUCAACUAAACAUGUUUUGUAAACGUAAUAAACUUUAUAAAAAUAUUUUUUAUUUUGUAUUAAUAAUCAAGUAUAAAGAACAAUGCAUAGUGUGAAAAUGCGGAUUAUAAAAAAGUAUAUUAAAGAAAAGGACUACAUUUCCCAGAAUGCACCUGCACCCACUCAUCUGACUGCCCCCACCCUUCAGGUGCGACUGCUCAACCUAUGGGCUUGACGGAAAAUUCAAAUCGCGAACCGUUACUGCCUGGACUACUCCGUCUCUUGUUUGUUUGUUUGCUCAUUAACAGUAAGAGGUCAUGUACACUGUGGUCAACUUUGUGGACGAUGAAGAGGUUUCUAGGUAAAGAUGAUAGAAAUAUAAUGAAGUAACAGUGAAAGCUAAAACAUCAGACUGAUCCAGACACUGAAGAAAUUGAUGUCACUGCAAUCUGGCCAAAAUGAUACAACUAUAUUGAAGUAGCCUACUGUAAUGAAGCUGCAGAACAACACAGAGACUCUUGAGGACAUCAACACAGAAAAUGAAGGCUCCAAAGAGAUGUCUGUCCAGAUGAGGGUGCAUCAAUGUUACGUUUGCUGACAAGUAUAUGCUUUACAAUGUAAAACCUAACAGUUAACUUAACUCAAACCAUUUAAGGAAAUCGGUUGCCUUAACCCAUUAAGUUUUAAAAAACAUACAUUUGAGUACUGUGAACUUAAGUCUUGUGCAAUUAUGCACUUAUAUUUAGUUAGUGUGAACUUAAAUAUAAGUGCAUAACUGCAUGUGACUCAAUUUGUUUAAGUUCACAGUACUCAAAUCCAUGUGUUUUAAAACUUAAAUGGUUUAAUGCAACCGGUUUUCUUAAAUGGUUUGAGUUUAGUUAACUUUUAGGUUU